AGAGUUUGAUCAUGGCUCAGGAUGAACGCUAGCUACAGGCUUAACACAUGCAAGUCGAGGGGAAACGAUGAGAGAGCUUGCUCUCUCAGGCGUCGACCGGCGCACGGGUGAGUAACACGUAUCCAACCUGCCUUUUUCCAGGGAAUAACCUUGCGAAAGUAAGACUAAUGCCCUAUGUGUCCUUUGACGGCAUCAGACGAGGACGAAAGAUUCAUCGGAAAGGGAUGGGGAUGCGCCUGAUUAGGCAGUUGGCGGGGCAACGGCCCACCAAACCGACGAUCAGUAGGGGUUCUGAGAGGAAGGUCCCCCACAUUGGAACUGAGACACGGUCCAAACUCCUACGGGAGGCAGCAGUGAGGAAUAUUGGUCAAUGGGCGAGAGCCUGAACCAGCCAAGUAGCGUGCAGGAUGACGGCCCUAUGGGUUGUAAACUGCUUUUGUACGGGGAUAAAGUGAGUCACGUGUGGCUUAUUGCAGGUACCGUACGAAUAAGGACCGGCUAAUUCCGUGCCAGCAGCCGCGGUAAUACGGAAGGUCCGGGCGUUAUCCGGAUUCAUUGGGUUUAAAGGGAGCGUAGGCCGCCCCUUAAGCGUGUUGUGAAAUGCCGCGGCUCAACCGUGGCACUGCAGCGCGAACUGGGGGGCUUGAGUGCGCGCAGCGAAGGCGGAAUUCGUGGUGUAGCGGUGAAAUGCUUAGAUAUCACGAAGAACUCCGAUCGCGAAGGCAGCCUUCGGGAGCGCAACUGACGCUGAAGCUCGAAAGUGCGGGUAUCGAACAGGAUUAGAUACCCUGGUAGUCCGCACGGUAAACGAUGGAUGCCCGCUCUGCCGUCUUCGGAUGGCGGGGCCAAGCGAAAGCAUUAAGCAUCCCACCUGGGGAGUACGCCGGCAACGGUGAAACUCAAAGGAAUUGACGGGGGCCCGCACAAGCGGAGGAACAUGUGGUUUAAUUCGAUGAUACGCGAGGAACCUUACCCGGGCUUGAAUUGCUGAGGAAAGAUCCAGAGAUGGUGAUGCCCUUCGGGGCCUCAGUGAAGGUGCUGCAUGGUUGUCGUCAGCUCGUGCCGUGAGGUGUCGGCUUAAGUGCCAUAACGAGCGCAACCCCUCUCUCCGGUUGCCAUCAGGCAAUGCUGGGCACUCCGGAGACACUGCCGCCGCAAGGUGUGAGGAAGGUGGGGAUGACGUCAAAUCAGCACGGCCCUUACGUCCGGGGCUACACACGUGUUACAAUGGCCGGUACAGAGCGUCGGAGGCCCGCAAGGUCCUUCUAAUCGUAAAAUCCGGUCCCAGUUCGGACUGGGGUCUGCAACCCGACCCCACGAAGCUGGAUUCGCUAGUAAUCGCGCAUCAGCCAUGGCGCGGUGAAUACGUUCCCGGGCCUUGUACACACCGCCCGUCAAGCCAUGAAAGCCGGGGGUGCCUGAAGUCCGUGACCGCAAGGAUCGGCCUAGGGCAAAACCGGUGAUUGGGGCUAAGUCGUAACAAGGUAGCCGUACCGGAAGGUGCGGCUGGAACACCUCCUU
rnacentral:rRNA from 1 species